rnacentral:tRNA from 1 species
UCGGGAAUCGUCUAACUGGAAAAGACAGCCGGCUUUGACCCGGCAGAUCCCUGUUCAAGUCCGGGUUCCUGAGCCA